UGGGGAAUAUUUCACAAUGGGGGAAACCCUGAUGCAGCGACGCCGCGUGAGCGAUGAAGGCUUUCGAGUCGUAAAGCCCUGUCCUAUGGGAAGAUAAUGACGGUACCAUAGAAGAAAGCCCCGGCUAAUUACGUGCCAGCAGCCGCGGUAAUACGUAAGGGGCGAGCGUUGUCCGGAAUUAUUGGGCGUAAAGAGUGCGUAGGCGGCAAAUUAAGUCAGAUGUGAAAACUAAGGGCUCAACCCAUAGAUUGCAUCUGAAACUGAUAUGCUUGAGUCAAGGAGAGGAAAGUGGAAUUCCUAGUGUAGCGGUGGAAUGCGUAGAUAUUAGGAGGAAUACCGGUGGCGAAGGCGACUUUCUGGACUUGAACUGACGCUGAGGCACGAAAGCGUGGGGAGCAAACAGG
rnacentral:rRNA from 1 species